UACGUAGGGUGCGAGCGUUGUCCGGAAUUACUGGGCGUAAAGAGCUUGUAGGCGGUUUGUCGCGUCUGCUGUGAAAUUUCGGGGCUCAACCCCGAACUUGCAGUGGGUACGGGCAGACUAGAGUGUGGUAGGGGAGACUGGAAUUCCUGGUGUAGCGGUGAAAUGCGCAGAUAUCAGGAGGAACACCGAUGGCGAAGGCAGGUCUCUGGGCCAUAACUGACGCUGAGAAGCGAAAGCAUGGGGAGCGAACAGG
rnacentral:rRNA from 1 species